AUAUAUUAUCUACAACAUGCUGGAGGUUGCAGACAGGCUGUUCUCUUCGUUUGGUCAGGACAUUCUGGACGCUCUCUACUGGACUGCUACAGAACCUAAAGAGAAGAAGAGAGCUCAUAUAGGAGUGGUUCCUCACUUCCUCAUGGCUGUGCUAUAUGUCUUUCUUCAUGCUAUCCUCAUCAUGGUCCAGGCCACUACCCUGAACGUUGCCUUCAACUCUCACAACAAGUCUCUCCUCACCAUCAUGAUGUCAAACAAC